UGGGGAAUUUUGGACAAUGGGCGAAAGCCUGAUCCAGCAAUGCCGCGUGUGUGAAGAAGGCCUUCGGGUUGUAAAGCACUUUUGUCCGGAAAGAAAUCCUUGGCUCUAAUACAGUCGGGGGAUGACGGUACCGGAAGAAUAAGCACCGGCUAACUACGUGCCAGCAGCCGCGGUAAUACGUAGGGUGCAAGCGUUAAUCGGAAUUACUGGGCGUAAAGCGUGCGCAGGCGGUUUGCUAAGACCGAUGUGAAAUCCCCGGGCUCAACCUGGGAACUGCAUUGGUGACUGGCAGGCUAGAGUAUGGCAUAGAGGGGGGUAGAAUUCCACGUGUAGCAGUGAAAUGCGUAGAGAUGUGGAGGAAUACCGAUGGCGAAGGCAGCCCCCUGGGCCAAUACUGACGCUCAUGCACGAAAGCGUGGGGAGCAAACAGGAUUAGAUACCCUGGUAGUCCACGCCCUAAACGAUGUCAACUAGUUGUUGGGGAUUCAUUUCCUUAGUAACGUAGCUAACGCGUGAAGUUGACCGCCUGGGGAGUACGGUCGCAAGAUUAAAACUCAAAUGAAUUGACGGGGUCAUAGCUGUUUCCU
rnacentral:rRNA from 1 species